rnacentral:rRNA from 1 species
ACGUUGCGUUGGAAAGUUUCAUGAACCUUAUCACUUAGAGGAAGGAAAAGUCGUAACAAGGUUUCCGUAGGUGAACCUGCGGAAGGAUCAUUC